ACAUUUAACGUAUAUAUCUAUGGACGCUAACUAGUAUUCACAUCGUAUCAUGCUCAACUCUUAAUACUCUUUUACGCAUUUUGAGAGUGUUUGCGUUAUUUCAGAGAGAUAUUUAAGCACAAUGAAGUAACAGUGCCAUCUGUGUACUAUAGCUACACAAUGCAGCAUUUAGCUCGCUCGUAAACAUCUCUGCUGUCCUCAGAUCAUUGUCUGAGCAGAAGUUUCAUCAUUAGCCCUGACUGUCAGAUGCUCUUCAUCUCAGGAGCUGUAUUUUUAGAUGCUUGAUAACAGAUAUAAGCGAGAAGAGGCUGAAUCCAAAGCCCGAGAGGAAGCAGA